AAAAAGAUAAGCUAAAUAAGCUAUUAGGUUCAUACCCUAAUUAUGAAAGCCCCACCCUUUCUCUUUUUA
rnacentral:tRNA from 3 species